rnacentral:rRNA from 1 species
UACGGAGGGUGCGAGCGUUAAUCGGAAUUACUGGGCGUAAAGCGCGCGUAGGCGGCUUGAUCAGUCGGGUGUGAAAGCCCCGGGCUUAACCUGGGAACUGCAUCCGAUACUGUCAAGCUAGAGUACGGAAGAGGGAGGUAGAAUUCCACGUGUAGCGGUGAAAUGCGUAGAUAUGUGGAGGAAUACCAGUGGCGAAGGCGGCCUCCUGGUUCGAUACUGACGCUGAGGUGCGAAAGCGUGGGGAGCAAACAGG